rnacentral:rRNA from 1 species
AUGAGGGCGCCGCGGAGGCCGAUGGCGGUCGUGCUCAGCUGGGUGCGGAGGCAGCCGCCCAAGGUCAAGGCCUUCCUCGCCGUCGUCGCGGGCAUGACCGCGCUCGUCUUCAUCCGCUUCAUCGUCCACGACCACGACAACCUCUUCGUCGCCGCCGAGGCCGCGCACGCGCUCGGCAUCGCCGUGCUCAUCUACAAGCUCACCAAGGAGAAGACCUGCGCUGGACUUUCACUCAAGUCUCAGGAUUUGACAGCACUGUUCCUGGCCGUUAGGUUGUACUGCAGCUUUGUUAUGGAGUAUGACAUCCAUACAAUACUGGAUUCAGCUACACUAGUAGCUACUCUUUUUGUCAUUUACAUGAUUCGGUUCAGACUGAGGUCAACUUAUAUGCUGGACAAGGACAAUUUUGCAUUGUACUACGUGGUCCACAAGAUGUCAGUAUCACUUUUAGAAAGAGUUGUAUCCUUGCCCCUUGUGGUUGUACCAUGUUGUGUGCUGGCAUUUAUUGCUCAUCCUUCGACAUCACAUAUCAUGAUCAAUAGGAUCUGCUGGGCCUUCUGUGUUUACUUGGAAGCUGUUUCAGUGCUGCCCCAGUUGCGCUUGAUGCAGAAUACAAAGAUUGUUGAACCAUUCACAGCUCAUUAUGUGUUUGCAUUGGGAGUGGCAAGGUUCCUUAGCUGUGCACACUGGGUCCUUCAGGUCUUGGAUACUCGUGGCAGAUUAUUGACUGCUCUGGGCUAUGGCUUUUGGCCAUCGAUGGUUCUCCUCUCUGAAAUCGUCCAGACGUUCAUCCUUGCAGAUUUCUGCUACUACUAUGUGAAGAGUCUUGCUGGUGGACAACUAGUGCUGCGACUUCCUUCUGGGGUGGUGUAA